GGAUUGUGGCUCAGGGGCAGAGCGCUUGCCUCGCAUGUGUGAGGCACUGGGUUCAAUCCUCAGCACCA
rnacentral:tRNA from 1 species